rnacentral:rRNA from 1 species
AUUGAACGCUGGCGGCAUGCUUUACACAUGCAAGUCGAACGGCAGCGCGGGGCAACCUGGCGGCGAGUGGCGAACGGGUGAGUAAUAUAUCGGAACGUACCCAGAAGUGGGGGAUAACGUAGCGAAAGUUACGCUAAUACCGCAUACGAUCUACGGAAGAAAGUGGGGGACCUUCGUGCCUCUGGCUGUUGGAUCGGCCGAUAUCUGGUUAGCUAGUUGGUAGGGUAAAGGCCUACCAAGGCGACGAUCAGUAGCUGGUCUGAGAGGAAGACCAGCCACACAGGGACUGAGACACGGCCCAGACUCCUACGGUAGGCAGCAGUGGGGAAUUUUGGACAAUGGGCGCAAGCCUGAUCCAGCAAUGCCGCGUGAGUGAAGAAGGCCUUCGGGUUGUAAAGCUCUUUUGUCAGGGAAGAAACGGCGAUUUCUAAUGAAGAUUGCUAAUGACGGUACCUGAAGAAUAAGCACCGGCUAACUACGUGCCAGCCGCCGCAGUAA